rnacentral:rRNA from 1 species
AACGAACGCUGGCGGCAGGCCUAACACAUGCAAGUCGAGCGAUACCAGCAAUGGUGGAGCGGCAGACGGGUGAGUAACACGUGGGAACGUACCCUUCGGUUCGGAAUAACUCAGGGAAACUUGAGCUAAUACCGGAUACGUCCGAGAGGAGAAAGAUUUAUCGCCGAAGGAUCGGCCCGCGUCUGAUUAGCUAGUUGGUGAGGUAAUGGCUCACCAAAGCGACGAUCAGUAGCNGGUCUGAGAGGAUGAUCAGCCACAUUGGGACUGAGACACGGCCCAAACUCCUACGGGAGGCAGCAGUAAGGAAUAUU